rnacentral:rRNA from 1 species
GACGUAGGGCGCGAGCGUUGUCCGGAUUUAUUGGGCGUAAAGAGCUCGUAGGCGGCUUGUUGCGUCAGCUGUGAAAACCCGCGGCUCAACUGCGGGCCUGCAGCCGAUACGGGCAGGCUAGAGUUCGGUAGGGGAGACUGGAAUUCCGGGUGUAGCGGUGGAAUGCGUAGAGAUCCGGAAGAACACCGGUGGCGAAGGCGGGUCUCUGGGCCGAUACUGACGCUGAGGAGCGAAAAGCGUGGGGGAGCGAACAGG